rnacentral:rRNA from 1 species
UGCGCAGGCGGACUAAUAAGUCAGUGGUGAAAUCUCUCGGCUCAACCGAGAAACUGCCAUUGAAACUGUUAGUCUUGAGUAUAGUUGUAGUGGGCGGAAUAUGUCAUGUAGCGGUGAAAUGCUUAGAUAUGACAUAGAACACCGAUCGCGAAGGCAGCUCACUAAGCUAUAACUGACGCUCAGGCACGAAAGCGUGGGGAGCAAACAGGAUUAGAUACCCUGGUAGUCC